rnacentral:rRNA from 1 species
CCUACGGGAGGCAGCAGUGGGGGAUAUUGCACAAUGGGGGAAACCCUGAUGCAGCGACGCCGCGUGGGUGAAGAAGCGCCUCGGCGCGUAAAGCCCUGUCAGCAGGGAAGAAAAUGACGGUACCUGAAGAAGAAGCCCCGGCUAACUACGUGCCAGCAGCCGCGGGAAUACGUAGGGGGCAAGCGUUAUCCGGAUUUACUGGGUGAAAAGGGGGCGCAGACGGCGAUGCAAGCCAGGAGUGAAAGCCCGGGGCCCAACCCCGGGACUGCUCUUGGAACUGCGUGGCUAGAGUGCAGGAGGGGCAGGCGGAAUUCCUGGUGUAGCGGUGAAGUGCGUAGAUAUCAGGAGGAACACCGGUGACGAAGGCGGCCUGCUGGACUGCAACUGACGUUGAGGCCCGAAAGCGUGGGGAGCAAACAGGAUUAGAUACCCGAGUGUC